UACGUAGGGGGCGAGCGUUGUCCGGAUUUAUUGGGCGUCAAGAGCUCGUUGGCGGUUUGGUAAGUCGGGUGUGAAAUCUCCACGCUCAACGUGGAGGGGCCACUCGAUACUGCCAUGACUCGAGUCCGGUAGAGGAGUGUGGAAUUCCCGGUGUAGCGGUGAAAUGCGCAGAUAUCAGGAGGAACACCGAUGGCGAAGGCAGCUCGCUGGGACGGUACUGACGCUGAGACGCGAAAGCGUGGGGAGCGAACAGG
rnacentral:rRNA from 1 species